rnacentral:rRNA from 1 species
CACGUAGGGUGCGAGCGUUGUCCGGAUUUAUUGGGCGUAAAGAGCGUGUAGGCGGCCAGACAGGUCCGUUGUGAAAACUAGAGGCUUAACCUCUAGACGUCGAUGGAAACCGUCUGGCUAGAGUCCGGAAGAGGAGAAUGGAAUUCCUGGUGUAGCGGUGAAAUGCGCAGAUAUCAGGAAGAACACCCGUGGCUAAGGCGGUUCUCUAGUACGGUACUGACGCUGAGACGCGAAAGCGUGGGGAGCGAACAGG